GAACGCUGGCGGCGUGCUUAACACAUGCAAGUCGAACGAAGCGCUUAAACGGAUUUCUUCGGAUUGAAGUUUUUGUGACUGAGUGGCGGACGGGUGAGUAACGCGUGGGUAACUUGCCUCAUACAGGGGGAUAACAGUUAGAAAUGACUGCUAAUACCGCAUAAGCGCACAGUGCUGCAUGGCACAGUGUGAAAAACUCCGGUGGUAUGAGAUGGACCCGCGUCUGAUUAGCUAGUUGGUGGGGUAACGGCCUACCAAGGCGACGAUCAGUAGCCGGCCUGAGAGGGUGAACGGCCACAUUGGGACUGAGACACGGCCCAAACUCCUACGGGAGGCAGCAGUGGGGAAUAUUGCACAAUGGGGGAAACCCUGAUGCAGCGACGCCGCGUGAGCGAAGAAGUAUUUCGGUAUGUAAAGCUCUAUCAGCAGGGAAGAAAAUGACGGUACCUGACUGAGAAGCACCGGCUAAAUACGUGCCAGCAGCCGCGGUAAUACGUAUGGUGCAAGCGUUAUCCGGAUUUACUGGGUGUAAAGGGAGCGUAGACGGUUGUGUAAGUCUGAUGUGAAAGCCCGGGGCUCAACCCCGGGACUGCAUUGGAAACUAUGUAACUAGAGUGUCGGAGAGGUAAGCGGAAUUCCUAGUG
rnacentral:rRNA from 1 species